CAGCAGAGCCGCAGCUCCUCCCGAGCCAGCCCUGAGCGGAGCCGGGAGGGCCCCGCGAUGGUGAAGGUGACCAAGUCCAAAACUUUCCAAGCGUACCUGCCAAACUGCCACCGGACCUACAGCUGUGUCCACUGCAGGGCCCACCUGGCGAAUCAUGACGAGCUGAUCUCCAAGUCCUUUCAGGGAAGUCAGGGACGAGCCUACCUCUUCAACUCAGUGGUGAACGUGGGCUGCGGCCCUGCGGAGGAGCGAGUGCUGCUCACCGGCCUGCACGCCGUGGCCGACAUCCACUGCGAGAGUUGCAAGACCACGCUCGGGUGGAAAUACGAGCACGCCUUCGAAAGCAGCCAGAAGUAUAAAGAAGGGAAGUUCAUCAUCGAGCUCGCUCACAUGGUCAAAGACAACGGCUGGGAGUAAAGUGGGCGUCCCGUUCCCUGGGCGUGACCGAGACAGUCCCGUCAAGGAGCUGGGGCGCGUCCGAGGGCGGGUGACCCCCCUGGCCGGCCCCUGGGUGAGGCAGCCCCCGCCAGCUAUGUCCUCUUCACGCACAUGGUUGUUUCUGAAAUGUUUCGAUGACCUGUUUCUAAUUUCUCAAGAUCCAGAGAAAGACCUGACUGAUGACGUGUCCAUCUAGCCCCUGCCUUCUGUAACCAGUGCUUUUAAGGCAGA